rnacentral:pre_miRNA from 1 species
AGGUCGUGACGUGUACAAUGUUGUGAUUUACGCCCUAAGUCCAAUAUUGCACUCGUCCCGGCCUAG